UACCUUACUGUUGCCUCGGCGGAUCAGCCCGCUCCCGGUAAAACGGGACGGCCCGCCAGAGGACCCCUAAACUCUGUUUCUAUAUGUAACUUCUGAGUAAAACCAUAAAUAAAUCAAAACUUUCAACAACGGAUCUCUUGGUUCUGGCAUCGAUGAAGAACGCAGCAAAAUGCGAUAAGUAAUGUGAAUUGCAGAAUUCAGUGAAUCAUCGAAUCUUUGAACGCACAUUGCGCCCGCCAGUAUUCUGGCGGGCAUGCCUGUUCGAGCGUCAUUUCAACCCUCAAGCCCUCGGGUUUGGUGUUGGGGAUCGGCGAGCCUUUCUGGCAAGCCGGCCCCGAAAUCUAGUGGCGGUCUCGCUGCAGCCUCCAUUGCGUAGUAGUAAAACCCUCGCAACUGGAACGCGGCGCGGCCAAGCCGUUAAACCCCCAACUUCUGAAUGUUGACCUCGGAUCAGGUAGGAAUACCCGCUGAACUUAAGCAUAUCAAUAAGCGGAGG
rnacentral:rRNA from 1 species